rnacentral:rRNA from 1 species
AGUGAACGCUGGCGGUAGGCCUAACACAUGCGAGUCGAACGGCAGCACAGUAAGAGCUUGCUCUUACGGGUGGCGAGUGGCGGACGGGUGAGGAAUACAUCGGAAUCUACUUUUUCGUGGGGGAUAACGUAGGGAAACUUACGCUAAUACCGCAUACGACCUACGGGUGAAAGCAGGGAUCUUCGGACCUUGCGCGAUUGAAUGAGCCGAUGUCGGAUUAGCUAGUUGGCGGGGUAAAGGCCCACCAAGGCGACGAUCCGUAGCUGGUCUGAGAGGAUGAUCAGCCACACUGGAACUGAGACACGGUCCAGACUCCUACGGGAGGCAGCAGUGGGGAAUAUUGGACAAUGGGCGCAAGCCUGAUCCAGCCAUACCGCGUGGGUGAAGAAGGCCUUCGGGUUGUAAAGCCCUUUUGUUGGGAAAGAAAAGCAGCAGGUUAAUACCCCGCUGUUCUGACGGUACCCAAAGAAUAAGCACCGGCUAACUUCGUG